rnacentral:rRNA from 1 species
CUACGGGUUGCACCAGUGGGGAAUAUUGCACAAUGGAGGGAACUCUGAUGCAGCAACGCCGCGUGGAGGAUGACACAUUUCGGUGCGUAAACUCCUUUUAUAUAAGAAGAUAAUGACGGUAUUAUAUGAAUAAGCACCGGCUAACAUCCGUGCCAGCAGCCGCGGUAAUACGGGGGGUGCAAGCGUUACUCGGAAUCACUGGGCGUAAAGAGCAUGUAGGCUGGUUUGUUAGUUGGAAGUGAAAUCCUAUGGCUUAACCAUAGAACUGCUUCCAAAACUACUUACCUAGAGUAUGGGAGAGGUAGAUGGAAUUUCUGGUGUAGGGGUAAAAUCCGUAGAGAUCAGAAGGAAUACCGAUUGCGAAGGCGAUCUACUGGAACAUUACUGACGCUCAGAUGCGAAAGCGUGGGGAGCAAACAGGAUUAGAUACCCCUGUAGUC